GCUUUGCGUGAGAUCCUCGGUUCUAAAGAAAUUAAAGCUGCUAAAAUUGGCUGGAUUAUGAGCUUAAGAAGGGUUACUCACCCUUUACGUGGAAAGGACAGCAUCACUGAGAAAGCCACGAGGCCCCCGCGGCAGCUUCAGUGUUUAGUAGCAGCGGAUUCGCAGCCGCCCGGGCGGAGGAUUUAGGAGCAUGUAGGUGCUUUCUAUGGCCAGCCCCUCGGCGAGGUGCCUUGGUCCCCUAAACUUUAGCGUGCCUGAAAAGCCACCAAGGAAAUUGUUCAACAAGAUUCCGGGUCCCACUCUCACAGACUCAGGGUCGGAGACCGAGAAUUCGCGUCCCCAGCAGCUCCUAGGGGCUGUCAGCAUGAGCGCUCCCACGACGGCACUGCCCUGUCUGCUCCUGAGGCCCCACUUCCUUCGAGGUGGGCAGGAACCGCUUCAUCACAAGCUCUUUUUGUGCAUUGUUAUUUCUGGAACAAGACCUUAGAAGGGCCCUGGGUCCCUCGGACGAGGGCAGCUUGCAAAAAGUUGGAGAAGCUGGCUGGGACGGGGGAGGGGCCGGAGCGAACCGGGUGGAAAGCGAGGAAGUGCUCCACUGUGCGGAUGGGGAAGCUGCGCGCCCUUGCAGGAGGCACAGACUUCCUCAGCUGCCCCAGAAAGCCAGCCUCUGACUUCAGAAGGCCCAGGUCUGGAGGGAAAGCUGGUGGGGAACCGAGGGACCACACCAUAGAGAGCGCAUCUGGGAGGAAAGCUACCCCCAAGGACUCGCAUCUGCUCCCACUGAGCUUUGGGUAUUCCUCUCAAGUCAUUGCUCACUUUGCUCGAUUAGAUAAAACUUACUUCCAAUUUUAGGGGCCAUUAGCAAAAAGCAAAAGCUUUGGAGUCGGAAGUCCUGGGUUGCCCUACCCUUGCCUCCACGAGGUUGGGAGUAACCGUGUAGGAAACAGGUGGAAAGGCUAUGGGCCUUCUCCGAGUCUGAUCUUCAUGGGUUAAUGGGUCAGUACUGCACAGGGUUGUUAAUGCGGAUCGAGUGAUAGAAUAUGUGCAUAAGGUAGCCCUAGCACACCAUGCCAUUGUUAAGUAGCCUCCAACCAAAAGAAAAUGCUUCAAAUAAUUUAGACCUUUUUUUUUUUUUUUCCCACCUGGAAUUCUCUUCCCUCCUGCUUAUUUUUAUAGA
rnacentral:lncRNA from 1 species